rnacentral:rRNA from 1 species
UUAUAAUUAAUAAAUUUUGUUUAUGAUUUAUUUUUUGGUUUGUGUGCCUUUUGCAUCAUGCUUAAUAGAUUAUGCUGACAUAUUUGUCAUCAACCGAAAAAUUUAGAUUUUCAGUAUAUUUAUUUAGUGUAAAAUCAAGUAGAUGUUGAUUAAAAUUUACUGACGGGGUGAUAAAUUAAUCGUUAAAUUUUAUAACUGUUUAUUGGCUUGUAUAUUUUAAGUUACCACUAAAGUAAUGAGAUUUAAGUGGCGAAUAUAUCUUUUGUUAUUUUUAUUUAAGAAAAGGUUAAAAUUACCUAAUCUUUGUAAUAUUGUUAAAAGUUUUAUUAAUUUUUAUGCAUCAAGAUUAUUUUUUUGAGCCAUUUGUAUUAAUCAUUGGUUAUAAAGUAUUAUUAAAUAAGUAAUUCUAUUAUGUUGUGUUGAUUCUCAAAAUUUGCCCGUCUGUUUAUUAAAAACAUUUCCAUAAUUAAAAUUUUAUGGUAGUACCUGCUCUAUGCAAUUAGUAAAUGGCCGCAGUAUCUUGACUGUGCAAAGGUAGCAUAAUUAAUUGCCUUAUAAUUGAAGGCUUGUUUGAAUGGUUUGACGAGGUAACAAUGAACAUCGCAUAUUUUUUUGAAAUUAAUGUAGAGGGCACAGAAUCCUCUUUAUUUAAUUAGACGGAAAGACCCCGGGAUCUUUUAUUUUUGCCUGGGGCAGGUUUACAUGUUUUAUGUUAAUUGAGACCCUUUAUGAGUAUAGUGAGUUAAGUUACCCCGGGGAUAACAGUGUAAUAAUUUAUUAGAGAUCUUAUCGAAUAAAUUGUUUGCUACCUCGAUGUUGACUUAGAUAAAUAUACCAGGCGCAGUAGUUUGGUAUAAAGGUCUGUUCGACCUAAAUUAUCUCCAUGAGUUGAGUUAAGACCGGUGUGAGCCAGGUCGGUUCUUAUCUAUUUUUCUGGUUUAUUAGUACGAAAGGAUUGUAAAUCAUUUUUUU